rnacentral:rRNA from 1 species
UGACUGUACAAAGGUAGCAUAAUCAUUAGUUUUUUAAUUGAAAGCUUGUAUGAAUGGUUUUAUGAAGUAUAAUCUGUUUCAAUAAAAAUGAUGAAUUUUAUUUUUUAGUUAAAAAGCUAAAAUUUAUUUAUUGGACGAGAAGACCCCAUAAAGUUUAAUAUUUAAAUUUAAAUAAUUAAAAUAUUUUAUAUUUAUUUAUUUUAUUGGGGAGAUAAUAAAAUUUAAAUAACUUUUAUUUAUUUUUACAUAAAUUAAUGAAUAUUUGAUUUAUUAAUAAUAAUUAAAAAAUUAAAUUACUUUGGGGAUAACAGCAUAAUUUUUUUUUUAAGUUCGUAUUUAUAAAAAAGAUUGUGACCUCGAUGUUGGAUUAAAAUUUAAAUUAGGUGUAGAAGUUUAAUUUUUUUAGUCUGUUCGAUCAUUAAAAUCUUA